rnacentral:rRNA from 1 species
GAUGAACGCUGGCGGCGUGCCUAAUACAUGCAAGUCGAGCGAACGGACGAGAAGCUUGCUUCUCUGAUGUUAGCGGCGGACGGGUGAGUAACACGUGGAUAACCUACCUAUAAGACUGGGAUAACUUCGGGAAACCGUAGCUAAUACCGGAUAAUAUUUUGAACCGCAUGGUUCAAAAGUGAAAGACGGUCUUGCUGUCACUUAUAGAUGGAUCCGCGCUGCAUUAGCUAGUUGGUAAGGUAACGGCUUACCAAGGCAACGAUGCAUAGCCGACCUGAGAGGGGGAUCGGCCACACUGGAACUGAGACACGGUCCAGACUCCUACGGGAGGCAGCAGUAGGGAAUCUUCCGCAAUGGGCGAAAGCCUGACGGAGCAACGCCGCGUGAGUGAUGAAGGUCUUCGGAUCGUAAAACUCUGUUAUUAGGGAAGAACAGAUGUGUAAGUAACUGUGCACAUCUUGACGGUACCUAAUCAGAAAGCCACGGCUAACUACGUG